rnacentral:sRNA from 1 species
UUUUUUUCAGUUCUUAAAUUCAUUUGAUGUUUUAGAUUUUGGUGAAGACUUUACAAUACCGCCUUAAAAUUGAAUCGAAUGGUGAGAGAGACAAUCGAGAUUAGUUGUUUGAAUUCACGAUGUUUUAUUAAUUUAUUUCUGUCAUUGAUGAUCUCCUAAUAUAUUUGUUACGGUGUUAGACAUUUAGUUGGAUUUCAAAUUUUUAACCACUUUAUUAUUAUUGUUUGAUUAUAUAUAUAUAUAUAUAUUUGGGUGUAAAUGAUUUUAUAUU